rnacentral:lncRNA from 1 species
CGAGGGUGUUUGGCCUUCACCGCUUAGCGCCUCAAGGGCCUGUUUGUCGAAGAGCGCCCUCAAGUUAAGGUUCGACGGGUACCCAGAGAGGGCAGCGUCGAUUGGGAUUCCAGUCGGGGAAGUCCCCAAGAUAGCAGUAAGAUCAAAGAUGGUAGGGCCAAUGGGGCUGAGAGGGAGGAACAUGGUGUUGGUGGCCGAACACCAGAAGUAUAAAGCCGCUAGGAGGAGCUCAUUAUCCAGGAUGACCUCCAUGGACGAGAGGUGAAUG